rnacentral:misc_RNA from 1 species
AACGCAUAUUGCACUCUCUGGUAUUCCGGGGAGUAUGCCUGUUUGAGGGUCAGUAAAAAUAAAAAAUCUAUCAUGAAUCCUUUUUUUAAUUUAUUUUAUUAAAUCGGAACAUGGAAUUGGAUCUUUCAAAGAUUUUUCAUUAUUUUUGAUGAUCUUAAAUUUAUGUUAUAUGGCUAUAUGUAAACUGAACCAAAAAGAGCAAUUAUUUAUAAUUAAUCUCAUUUAGUGAUGUUUUAUUAAGCCAAAUAUGAUUUAUUUUUGAUAUUUAAUUAUCAAAAUAAUCAUAAACAUAUUUUAAAAAUGACCUCAAAUCAGGUAAGAGUACCCGCUGAACUUAA